GCAAACUUGGUCAUUUAGAGGAAGUAAAAGUCGUAACAAGGUUUCCGUAGGUGAACCUGCGGAAGGAUCAUUAACGAGAAAACGGUGCUCGCACCGCCUCUCAAACCACUGCGUACCAAAUCUUGUCUCUUGCGGGCAGGCCUGCCCUCCCGCGAGGAACCAAAACAGUCGUCUGAUGCUGUCAGAAACCACAUAAAAAAAACAACUUUCAACAAUGGAUCUCUUGGCUCCGGCAUCGAUGAAGAACGCAGC
rnacentral:misc_RNA from 1 species